rnacentral:rRNA from 1 species
UGCAAGUCGAGCGGACAGAUGGGAGCUUGCUCCCUGAUGUUAGCGGCGGACGGGUGAGUAACACGUGGGUAACCUGCCUGUAAGACUGGGAUAACUCCGGGAAACCGGGGCUAAUACCGGAUGGUUGUUUGAACCGCAUGGUUCAGACAUAAAAGGUGGCUUCGGCUACCACUUACAGAUGGACCCGCGGCGCAUUAGCUAGUUGGUGAGGUAACGGCUCACCAAGGCGACGAUGCGUAGCCGACCUGAGAGGGUGAUCGGCCACACUGGGACUGAGACACGGCCCAGACUCCUACGGGAGGCAGCAGUAGGGAAUCUUCCGCAAUGGACGAAAGUCUGACGGAGCAACGCCGCGUGAGUGAUGAAGGUUUUCGGAUCGUAAAGCUCUGUUGUUAGGGAAGAACAAGUGCCGUUCAAAUAGGGCGGCACCUUGACGGUACCUAACCAGAAAGCCACGGCUAACUACGUGCCAGCAGCCGCGGUAAUACGUAGGUGGCAAGCGUUGUCCGGAAUUAUUGGGCGUAAAGGGCUCGCAGGCGGUUUCUUAAGUCUGAUGUGAAAGCCCCCGGCUCAACCGGGGAGGGUCAUUGGAAACUGGGGAACUUGAGUGCAGAAGAGGAGAGUGGAAUUCCACGUGUAGCGGUGAAAUGCGUAGAGAUGUGGAGGAACACCAGUGGCGAAGGCGAGUCUCUGGUC